UUCAUAUAUAUUUACACACACACACACACAUACUGAUGUAUGUAUAUAUGUACUUAUAUAUAUUUAACGCACUCACACACACACACUGAUGUUUGUGUAUGUAUGUAUGUAUGUAUAUAUGUGUGUGUGUCUGUCGUUUGGAUCUUUGCAAUGGAAUUAGUAAUGUAAAGCGUAUUUGAUGGAAGAAAAGAAAGAAUGAGUUUUGCAGGAGUGAGUGAAGGAAAGAAGAAGAGAAGGAAAGAAGGAAGGAAGGAGUGUCCAAUUCUUGAAAUGGAAGCACUAGAGAAGCAAAAUGCAAGAAAUAUAAAAGAACUUCGAAAAUAACAAAAAAAAAAAUAAAGUACCAAUGCCACGCAG